rnacentral:rRNA from 1 species
CUACAAUGGUGGUUAACAGAGGGAAGCAAGACCGCGAGGUGGAGCAAAUCCCUAAAAGCCAUCCCAGUUCGGAUUGCAGGCUGCAACCCGCCUGUAUGAAGUUGGAAUCGCUAGUAAUCGCGGAUCAGCAUGCCGCGGUGAAUACGUUCCCGGGCCUUGUACACACCGCCCGUCACACCAUGAGAGCCGGGAACACCCGAAGUCCGUAGUCUAACCGCAAGGAGGACGCGGCCGAAGGUGGGUUUGGUAAUUGGGGUGAAGUCGUAACAAGGUACC